CGGGAAGUAGCUCAGCUUGGUAGAGCACUUGCAUGGGGUGCAAGGGGUCGCAGGUUCGAAUCCUGUCUUUCCGA
rnacentral:tRNA from 4 species